GAAACUUAAAUGUAGUUGAGAAGUUCAUUUUAAUACCGACUUCGUCUGUAUACAGUCGUUUUUUUCACAGCAGCGAGAGAAGGGCGUAUGCAUGUGGACACAAACGUGCACCAUCACCUCCAGGGUUUGCUCUACCGUUCAACAGGAGGAGAUGAUAAUCUGAAUGUUCCCGGUUAUCCUGCAAGCCUCAAUGCGGCAUCUUUGUUUUUAUAAUUAUUCUUAUUUCCCGCUGCUGCUGAAUACACACUAAUGAAGUAGACCUCCACCACAAUCCAGUGCAGUCCAGAGCAAGACGUUUGUCAAACAGACACCUGUUUGAGAAGGAUCCUCAAGUAGUAGGAAUAUAUUUUUAUUUUAUAAUUAUAUAUUUGUUCCACAGGCAUCCGAUACACUGUGUUUCUUGUUUGUAAUGAGAAAGCAAAUAGUUGGCAGAGAAGAAGCUGAGGCAGCUGCCGCAUCCACGUUAACGAAGGUAUUCGAAGAUGUGUCAGUCACUUUUUCCCGGCUGUCUCGCAUUCUUUGAGAACGAGACACAAGACGCGCACACAAAUUGUCUCUGCCUUCUUGAUCAGCAACUGAAAUAGGAUAAAUAAAAGUAAAAAAAACAACACCUGGCUGCGAAAAAAAACACGAACAAAACAAAGUCCUGCGACGCGAGAAAUGAUUUCAUUCAGACAAAGUCACAGAUCACAAGAAUUAGGAUCAAAUAAACAGAUAAAUGUGUCACAAGAAAGGAGGAAAAGUUCAUCUGGGCCGCCGGUUUGUUUACAAAUGAGGGAGCAGGCAGAUUAAAGGGAGUUUGUCUCAGUUCAGCACUUGUGUGUUUAAAAGGAAAGGAAAGGAAACAAAUAAAGGGAAAAAUAGAACAGAGAUUCCUCAAGGGAGCUUCGCCAGCCAAAAUGAAAACUCUGUUCAAUUCUGAGCGUUUUAUCCCCCCGUAGAACGAUCACAGGGUCAGUGUCGCCACAAAAACAACACCACCAUUGCAUUAUUUGGUCAAGCUCUUCACAAUAACAUCACACUUCCACGUAGCUAUUUAAAGAUGACUCUUGUUUUUAAAGUAAAGAUCGUAUAUCACUGUCAAAACCCAUCAAAAUGAAGAUUCUUAAAAAAUGCCUACCACAUUUCCCUCAAAAGCUUUUGGUCUUCCUUUGAGGUCCGGUUCCUUCUCUUCACUGAGGACGAACAAAACUCGUUGGAAGCAAAUUAUUUUUACUUUGGCCUCUGACGCGCUCCGCCAUCCGUCAUCGAGAGAAGCUGUGGAAGGUUGAGCUCCAUUUGCACUGCAGGUACAGCACCCACUUACUUAUUUGGUGUUACACAUCAAUCUCCCUCAGCGUUACCGCGGUCACAAAAAGGCUAAAAAUCGAUGGGAGCGAAGUCCAAACGAGCCAAGUGGCAAUCAGCCACGGCGACGAAUAGACAAUCUCUUUAAUUUGGUGGAAAAAAGGGCGAAAUGGAUAAUAAAGGUUGAUGACCCCCGCUUUUAUAUCAUAAGGUCGUAAGACCUUAUGAUAUCAAAUCGGAGCUAUUCGGUCCGUGCCAACCAUCAUCUACUGUAAGUACUACACUGAUUAUGUACAAGUACCUUUUACAAAUCCACUUUAAAACAACCAAAAAAAUCUACAAAUAACUCAUGCUGCUUUUUGAGAGUUGCAUUUCAAAUAAAUGGAAAUCUGCUUGCACUUCAGGGCAAAUACAUUGAUUUGUAUUCUGGUUAAACUGCCCUUUUCUAUGAAUUAUAUAUAUAAAAUAUAUAAAAUGAACACCAAGUUAUCGUACUUAAUCCAGCCGAACACAACCUUUUCCCCCUCCUGCGUAAAAUAGGAAACCUCCCCAUUACCAUAUUAUAUGCAGUAGACACACACACACACACACACACACACACACACACACACACAGACAGAACCCUACAUAAAAAAUGUAAAAAUAAAGUAGCAGCUUUAACUGGUAAAUUAUAAGCACACAGCUGGAGUAACUGGCAACCAUUGCAAUUCAGUUUCAUACCGUUUUUACGUUCAUUGUGCACAACAAAGUGUUGGUGGGUAUUAAAAUAUUCUACGGUAAUCUGCUAACAAACUUUAACAAAAACGUCCAGGCUGCUCCAACUGUGUUUUCUGACAAACAAAACAAAAGAUAUUUGUGUCUGUGUGUUUUUGCACCUUUUUUUCAAACGCCUAAUGGCAGCAUUUGCCCUUUGGCUCUCUGUGGUGUUUUGUGUGUGUGUUUGUGUGUGUGUGUGUGUGUGUGUGUGUGUGUGGUACCCCUGCAGUUUUGUUUUCGUGGGUAUUUGUGCUCGCUGAGAGGGAUGUGCUCUUGUGAUCGAGUGUGUAAUCACAGCAUGUGUCCGUAAAGCAGUGAAACACAGGAGACAAAUUUGGAUUAACACAUACAAACACCCACACACACACACACACACACACACACAAACACACACUCGCACCUAGUAUCGCAAACAGACACACAGAAAUACAAAUGCCAAACCCUGCAAUACAACCCAGAAAAUACAAAUAUUAACAAAUAGCUCUCCGCUCCUCCGUGAUCUUUCCUGCCUGUUGCUCCGGGACGCCGUUUAAUGACUGAGCCAAAUGAAUCACCUCCAGUAAAACACUUCACAGCAAAACUACUUUGUUUUAUUUAAUUUCAGCGCUUUAGGCGAGAUUGUCAGACUCCAAGUGGAAACCCCUCAGCAUGUGCGCGGAGGCGACUCGAUCAGCGUUCCGACUAACUCACCAGCUCGUUGUACCGCUGACGGACGUGUGGACAUUCUGUGGAUUAUUCUGCAUCAAUUAGAUGCAGCAUCCCUGUUACAUUCUUUAUUAUUAAUCCAUAAACGCUACAUUGUAGCUCUACGUGUGCGGUUAAUAUAUCGUGAUCUCAGCAGAGGCUGAAAAAUGUGUAGAAUCUCAUGGGUUACAUAAGAACCAAAGGAUCUGCUGCUAAGGAGUGUGUGUGUGUGUGUGUGUGCGCGCGUGUGUUUUGUUUAAUUAGUUUCACAGGGCAGCCGAAGACAAGAGGGAGAUUGGAGUUUUGGAAUCCUGUCUGUGUCUGGGAGUCAGUUGCUAUCAUGUAUUUCUGUGUGUUCGUGCAUAGAUGUGUGUGUGUGUGUGUGUUUGUUUGUGGUCUCUCAUUGCCAUCUGGUAAAUAACGAGUCACCUGUGAGGUCCGGAGCACCAGUGUGUGUGUGUGUGUGUGUUGUCUCAGCGGGACCGUUGUGAUGCCUGUCGGAGGGCGUUUGGAUCCAACGCAUCAUCAACACGCUCACCCAAACAGACACGUGUUGGCUUUUGUUUCUACAAAUACCCGAGAAAUGAAGAAGAAAUAAUGCUGUUUUAUCUCAAUCCACCUUCAGCGGAAAACGGACGCACUGCUCGUUGUUUUCUCACAUGCAGAAAAGUGUAAAGCAUCUUAAUUAUUGACAUUAACAAAACAGCAACAGAUUAGUGAGAAUUAGUUUCGGUCUUUCGCUGCGAAUUGUAAUUAAAAGCCGUUAAUCGUCACUUUGCUAGAAUGGUCUUUUCUUUAUGGGGGGCGGAGGGGAGGCAAGUAAUGGUGAGGUAAUCAGGGAGUAACGGGUUCCAAAAGACAACUAUGCGUAGUGACUUGGAGGGACACAUUAAUGGCAACCAAUCUGGGCGUGACGGGGAGGCAAUGAUCCGUUGUGUGGCAAUGAGCCGUUGUUUUUUUAACCAUCUAACAGCAUGUGUUUAGAGUUUAUCUUUAGCAACAUUUUCUAAAGUCAAAGAAUGAUAUAGAACAUGGAUGAACGGCAGAGGGGGGCGGGUGGCAGGUGAUGUUUCGUAGCUUCCUCUUUUUUCCUUUCAACUACAAAUUACAUUCAGCGUUGUGAAGAAGGAAUUGAAGGACUUCUUCACAUCACACAGGCGGAAGAUACUGAGUGUAAAUAUAUCGGCUCAGGCGCUGACCUCCAUGCCGCGCGGCGUCGGGGGCCCGGAGCAGAUUGCAGUGUGCAGGAGGGCGUCUCAUCCUGCCCGAGCCCAUCAGCAAAUGAGCAUUAAACCCCCAUUUGAAGCCCUAUUCAAUGACGUCCUCGGCCCCUUGGUGGCCCUCAGUCGGUGGACCUCGACGCCAGUACACCUGCUAGUAUUCAUUUCUGCCGGAACAUUUUUUAUACGUUUAAUUCGCAAACGAGUAUCGCUUUAAAUCUUAAACUUAACCAAAAAUACCCAAAAAGUGUGAAGUUCAGCUGUCCAAUUGGCUUUCUGAAGGUCUUAACAACAAGUAAAAUGAAAGAAUGAAGGCAUUUAAAUCAAAAUGUUAAAUGAGUUAACCCAAUUAAAAUGGUUAUUUCGAACAUUGGAUUUUGUUGUGUUCAUCAUGAGGUCACACAGAGGUCACGGGCAAUUUCAUCUACUCUCUCCCGGCUCCUUUUCUGGACAUAAAACACACGCACACUCUCAGCAGUGAGCAGCGUGAUGCUGAAGCCAUCGAAGCCGAAAUGAUGACGAUCAAUUAAUCAAUGCAAUUGUGUGUUGAAGGACGUGAUGCUUGAGUGGCUCAUUCACACGUACACACGUGUGUCACCGUGAAAUAUUCAUCCGUGUGUUUCUGUGGAUUUGGGGUUCAUGGUCUCUCUCUGACUCCAGGCUUCUCAAAAUCCAUCUAACUGCGACUCUUAAUUAUCACACUGGUAAUCAGACGCGCCUUGAAACCCAGAGGAAGGCGUGGAUGUGCACUCGGGCGCACAUAUCUGUGUCUUAAGGCGAUUCGACACAUAAUGAGAUGGAGGCAGAGGCAGAGGGAGGCACGCGAAUGGAUCACGGGGACGACAAGAUGCAGGUUUAAUGAGAAGCUCGACGGGCGUCACAGCACGUUUUUAUCUGAUGAACAGCCACGUGUUUUGAGAAAUACUGCACUAAAUCCAGGUGACGUGACGUUUCCUCAAAAGGGCGGCGUUAAAAGCGUUGCAAGAUAAUGAGACGAUGGACUUGAAAAGGGAAGAAUUGUUUUCAGAGUCAAAAUGAAAACCCAAAUGUUAUGCGAACCGUGUAAAACAAGCCGGGUGCACGGAACCGUGUGCAAAUGAUCAACAGGUGCCGUGCAGCUCUGAAUCAGAACGUACUGUGCAUAUUUAAAGCCUCUUCCUCUCUGUGAUUAGCUUCAGACAAUUACUUAUUCAUUUUGCCCUGAUGAACAUUAACUGUUGCACUUAAUUCCGUUGACCUUAGUCGGUGUUGAAAUUUGGGUUUAGGGACAAACGCAGAACAGCUGAAACCGAAGCACAACCCGUAGACGUGUUAGCUAAGAACGAGACCGGCGUAGCGAGGUGGAACACGAUCUGAUGCACGUUGAUCGCGUGUUUUUGCGGCGUGUCCCUGUGCAGGUACUUCCUGCUCGUCGCUCUUGUCUUGUCUUUGCGUCCCUUCCUCUCGCCCACCUGCCGUCAGCCGGCCGAUCCGCAGAUCUGUUGGUUGCAUAUGAGUGGGCCUUUUUUUUUUUUUUUUCUUCCUUCUUCAUCUGUCUUCUCUCUCUCUCUCUCAGAAAUUGCUCGACUUCGACAAAUUUGCUUGGCCGGGGGCGAUAUUUAAUUGGCAUUUUCCUUUCUGAAAGCCAAAGGGACCAGGAACAUGAAAUCGUCCCGUUUCCCCUCCGUCGCCCAAGGAAACGUCUCCUGUGGCGCCGGGACAAGUGUGCUCCCAUGGCGACCGUAUGAGUUUUUGUUCCCGUGGCGAUACGAAAGUUAUUCAAGUCCUUUGAUUUCCCAACGGAGCGGAGCGAGGGAGUAAAACAAAGACUGUGAGAAGGAGGGGAAGGCAGAUGGAUCGAGGGAAAUAGAUUAUGAGUGGAUGAGAAAAGGUAGAGACGCCCUGGAAAGGAAAUAAAGAAAGGGAGAGAGAGGACUUCUGGCAUGGCUGGAGGACAAGAACAGAUUGUGCUUUUUCGGGAUCGGUGGAUUGAACGCACCUGCGGCCUAAUUAAGUUUUUUUCCCGAGUAAUAUUCCAACGCAAUUUGCUCAUCCGUCCAUCCGUCCGUCCACCUGUCUGCUUUUUUUAAUCUUUCCUUCCCUGCUUGUGUUUAUUCUCUUCUUCCAAACCAAAGAUGCAGGAAGCAGAUUUAGAUUUUAUUUUUUUUCGGGCUCAGUGAAUUGAACAGCCCCGCAGCAAUCUGCUGUUAUCACCGGGUUUCCAUGGCAACGCUCACUCAUGAGGCGAACUACCUCUCUUUCUUUUGCAGACAGAGCAAAGCGUCUUUUAAAAUGUCAGUAUUUGUCAAAUAAAAUAAAAUAAAAAAACAGUGAAUGGCCUUCUGUCUGAUUUCAUGUCUCCAUUAUAUUUGAAUACAAAUUCCUGGCUUAGUUCUGUUAUUCUGGCCGGCUUUUUAACUCCAUGUUCCUUCAUCGGUGUACUAAACCAUUAUUGGCCAACAUAGAGAAUGCUUGUUUAUAUCAGCAAACACUAGCUUAACUCUGCAAACAAAUGUCCUGCUUUGCACAAACACAAAAGCAAAGGGAGUGUGAAUGACUUCUUCUUUUGUCUCUAUUUAUCUGCUAAAAAGUUGGUCAAAUUCAUUCUUCAAUGCAGCAGUUUCACACUAGUUUGAAGAUUCCGUCCACCCUUAAUUAUUACAGUCUGCUGGAUCUCUGUGAGGAUUACUGCAGGGGGGCGCGUGGGCAUGAAGGGACAUGCAUUCAACACACCAUUGUUCAUGUCAUGGGGUCAAAAUGUAUCUUUACAAAUAUCACUUCCAGUGAUACGAGCACUUGUGAUCAUGAGGUAGCACACUUCUCUUAUAACGGAAUUUUCAAUUCUCCUUUUUUUUUUUCUGCCCAAACAUUUCCUGGUGCCGAUCCUGGUUAAAUAGUCCAGAAGCUGUUUGAAGUUUGCUCAGUUGAUUCACGGUGACUCUUCACAUUUCUCAAUUGCGCAAACAGCAGAUUCUAAAUGAGGCUUGAAGCCAACUAAGCUCUUCCGCCGAAGGCACCUUCCCGGGCAGCGCAUGUCCGUCAAGUAUCAAGUAUAAGUAUAUAAUUCAGCUCUUUUCAUCUAGCAUCGCAAACACACUAAUAAUGAGGCUGGUACACACACACACACACACACACACACACACACACACACACACUGAGCUAAUACGGGCUCAUUUGAAGUGCGCUCUUGUAUACACCCAAAGGGCCUUGGACACCUGCUACUGCGGGAAAUUAGAAGAGACACACACACACACACACCGGAGGCUUGAGGAUGUUUGAGGCAGAUGUGGUGUUUGCAGCCUCGUUUAGUGGUCAAGUACACACAGGAUUUCUAAAUAACACCUUUCAGUGCUUCUUUCUGGAUUCUAUUCGCCGCUCAAAAGCAACACCAGUGUUACUCCGCAUUAUAUUUCUGGUUCUACACAGUAAAUUCCCCCCCUGUUAAAUGAUCACUGUCAGAAGUAUAUUCACUUUUUCAGUUAUUACAACAAUAGCAAGCGUAAAUACCAAUCUGGCCCCCAGUGUUGGGGCCAAUCAGGGUCAAACAGGAAAUUGACGUGACCUCAUCGAUCUGCUGUUAACUUCUGCCAACCGGCCAACGUAAGUAAGGCACGUUUCAGUUUGACGGAUACAUGUUUUCGGCCCCGCCCGCCCCCUCAUGUCAGACGUCCCAGGGUCUAAUACCAUGUGACUGAAUUCAGCUCACAGCUCAUCAAAUAAAACACAGUGGCAGAACAGUUGUCCUCCAGUGUGUAUGAAUGUGUGUGUAUGUGUGUGUGUGUGUUGGGCUGAUUGAUGUGGAAAGGCGAGAAUCGCAGGAGGGUUCACGGGUCUGUCCGUCUUUAUUAGGUUUCCCUCGGAAAGGGGCUGUUUUUAAUUGUGUCUGGAGGCUGUGUUUGUUUUGUUUUCACUGACCUCGGUGGAAACGUGCGGGUUGGCGCUCUGAAGAACUCGUGUCAGGCUGCUGGUGCCGGAGUGAGCUCAUUGCUUUAAAGGUUGUAACUUUUUGCUAUUUAGUAUUUAGAACUAUGGACAGAGCCUUGACCUUCUUCAGCAUCGAACACCUUUGGGGUGAAAGGAAGGCCGCCCCCCUUGAGCCGCCCCCUUAUCGUCGGUGUCCGACCCCCGUUAAUGCUCUGGAGGCUGAAUGGGGGCAAAUCCCUGCAGCAAGGUUCCAGCAUCUGAAUGCAGCUUGUCAGAUAAUAUUGUUAUAUUAUUAUAUCUAACUGGGUAUCAAUGUGAUUUAGUAUUUUACCCUCCAAAAAAAUACACACCGUGCACCAACACACCUGCCACACUGUUUUACACCCACUGUCACAUCACGCACACACACACACACACACAUACACACACCAGCGCCUCAAAGGGGCCCUUUGAUCCCUCUAAUUAUUUUUUGAAAUGAUUUUAUCAUUUAGUGUCACUUGAAGGUAGACUCUGACUCUGACACUCUGUCACUGGCUCUUUCUCACUCUCUGCGUGACUGUGAAAGUGUGUGUGUGCGCUCAUGUGUGUCUGCAGUUAAUAAAGGAACGAUGCUAUCGGGGCUCGGUGAAGCGCUGCGGGUCAUCAUGUCCCUUGGAGGACGGUACCAAUAAAGAAUAAUUAGAGGAUUAGGAUAAAUGUCUGCAACUAUGAACGUACAAGACGAGGGUGGCUUUGUUGAUACGGCACGAAGCAGCAAAUGAGGAUUUCACGAACCCGCGUUAAAAAGUCAAGGAGAUAAUCAGCAGCUUGAUCCAUGAUCGAGUCCUAUUCAUUACAGCCCCGUAUGUAAAAUAGUAAAAAGAAAAAAGCUGCUCUUCAUCAAUCAACAGUCAAAGUUCUGCUUAUUUAUGUAUAAAAUAAAUAAAUCUACCAGAACGAGAGAAGUUGUUCAGCUGAACUCUUCCACAUGUCCCCAACCGGGCCUCCAGUUUUGAUCACGGUUCUUUGAAAACAUACCCGCGUGUGUUUUCUCCAUCACGUCAUCAUUUUAUCUUUAGAUGUAGACCUUCGACCCCUCAUUCGUGACAUUUCCCGGGUCAUGUUUGCAGAGUAGAAGCACACACACACACACACACACACACACACACACACACACACACACACACACACACACACACACUGGUCCUCGAGCAGCAAUCACAACUUGAACAGAGGUGUCUCUCACGGCUGACGUGUCAAACGAAUGCUCGGGAGACUUUACGACAUCACCAAAUGUUUUUGCCUGAAGCGAGCUGUCAGAAAAAACAAAACAAAAAAAAAACAGUCAUUCGGUGCCUAACAAUUUGUUCAAUAACAAAUCAAAUUGCUGUCACAUGCAAGCAAGUCAGAAAGUAAUCCGGAUGUACGUGUAAAACUACCAUUCAACCGUUUCUUUUCUUCUGACCUGAAACGACUGGGAUACUUGGUCCAUCUCUUGGACAGGAGCCCGCUAACGUGCUGUAUUACGCCGCGUCGCCUCGUUCCAGUGGAUUAACAGCUGCUCUUCCUCACCAGUUGGCAUUAGACGGUCCAACGAGGUUCGUCUUUAUUCGUCUCCGCAGGUGUUUCGCUUUCUUCAGACGAUUGUAUUUUGUCAUUUCAUCUUUUGCGCAGAUUUAAGUUCACGGCCGACUUAUGGGGCCGCGGCGCCACGCGGCCCCCCGAUGGCAUCUCGUGGCCUUUGUCACGCGCCAUCUUCAUUACGUGCAGCCGCGAGCCGACGAUGUAAAACGAAUGAAUACAAUCCCAAAACAAAAGGCUCCGCUGCCUUUCUAUUGGAGAGAGAGGCGAGGUCAGUAAGCCGGAGACGGAGGGCCGGAGCGCGGGAGACGGGGGGAGACAGGGGGGGGGGAAUUAAUGUCCCUUGUUUCUUCUUCCAAAAUGCCAGCUGUGCUCAAGUGACGACCCGCUGGAGCCGGAAGUGAAAGGCUUGGUCCUCUGGAUUUAGAUGAAUCGCACUCACUGUGGCAACGUGUUUCAUGUGGUCAGAUUACAGCUGAGGCCGCGCCGCCCGGCCGGGGACGGUUUCACCAGGCUGCCAUUAUCCCCGAAGGUCGUCGUUUCGUACAGCGGCGUUUCAAAGAAGUGCUCCGUCGAUGACGAGGUGGCUAUUAUGAGGAAUGCUAUCUUCACACAUGAAUACAAAUAGAGCCGAACGAAUCCACAGGGGUCUCUUAUUUAUGAACCUACAGCCUGUGCAAUUCCAAGACUGUUUAGGCACUAAACUGUGCAGAAUUUCAAGAGCACUACUUUUCAGUGGAAAAAAUACGUUUAUGCUGGUGCAAAACAAUCCAUUUAUAUAUUUUUUGUAAUAAAAAAGUAAAAACAUAAUGUACUAAAUUCUGACGGUUCUCACACGGUUAAAUAAACGUUCUUUUUUUUUUCAUAUUUGUUUUGUGCAGUAAAGCACAAAAAGGAAAUAGCCUGUGUAUGUAAAGGCCCCGUGCUGUUAAUAUGAUACAAAUGUACCUUCAAAUCUCGUUGCUAUAUGCAUGCCCAUAGAUAAACAUCAGUCGGUGGAACGGUUUUACGGGUUUCUGCUCCUCUCAUCACACUGGGAGGAAAACUAUUUUGUGCCCCGUCGUACCCGGCGUAUGAGAAUAAAUGCCAAAGUGCGUUGUGUGCAUGCUAAUUGUGUGAAUGUGCUUGUUUGUGUGUACUGGAGUGUAUGAAUUAUUUACUAGUAAUAUCUCAUAAGUAGCAUAUUAUACAGACUGUAGAAGACAAAGCCCUGCCGAACCCCGUCACUAUAAUCCUUGCCUCCAGCGCAGAGGGGAAAAUAAAAACGUCACAAAAAAGUGGAGAGAAAUGAUUCCUCCCCGUCCGUGUACCCACUUGCCUGUCUCUCUUAUUUGUGUGUCUGCUUCUAUACUUCCAACUUCCUUUCUUAUCCCCAUCAAUCUCUAUGCGAUAUCCUGUGAGUUAAUAAUAGAUUAAAUCUGUGCAGGAGUAGGAAAGGAGCUGGUUGCCAGUUUGGGACGCCGCGUCGGCACAGAAAACCCUCUCUGUAAUCUGUCCGACUCCAUCUGUCCCGACAUCUGACAAUCUCUCCCAGAGGAAUGAAUGAUGAGCCUUUCACAGGCCGCAACGCUGCUGUUAUGGCCACAUGAUGACAAACGGGCCUCUCACUAACAACCGAUCUAACAACCCCCCCCCCAACACACACACACACAGAAACACACAAUGCAAUCAGUCAAUUAAGGGAACUCCCAUUGGUCAGAUCUGCGUGCCGGGCCGACGGGACGGGGCUUCUCUUUAAUUUGGAAUUUCUCUCCGUUAUCUUCUGAAAUCCUCGUAAUGAGCCGAUUGUUCCGACUCCCGCCGAGGCGCCGUCUCGUUCUCCACCUUCCGCCUCCUUCCCUCCACGCCGUUGUCCUUCGCUCCGUCCCUCUUCCCUUCCCAUCUUGUCAGAUGAAUGAUUCUAAGUGGUUCAGGGGUCGAAUCAUCGCUCACUGUCCUUCGGCGAAACACACGGGCGCCCCGCUGGUGAUUGAUAUCUUUCACGCUGCCACUCCUCCGCACCGGCCAUCCAUCAAGCACCGGGUUCAUCGGUCAGAUCAGCGGUGAUCCACUGCUCUAGGAUGGAGGCAUCUAACAUCUAGGUGUUAGAGUUUGGACACUUUAUUGCCAACGAUGGAAGCUCCUCUUUCUCAUCCUCCAAAUCUGUUUAAGUCCGGCUAAUUUGGUUUUCAAUUUGGUAAAAUCAAGAUUUAUCACCAAUUGACCCGACUAAAUGAAGUUAAGCCUCAGAGAAGAAAUCUUGUAUUAUGUUAAAACGCGGAUCGGAUUUUACGACUCAAAUAACUCAAUAACUCAAGCGUAACCCUGCAAAAUGAGUUAUUUUCUCGCCUGCUUUGGAGAAGAAGUGUGAGCAGUACUUUCUUCGAUAAUAUAAAUAAACAAAACCCAACAAAGGGGGGAAACAGAAGUAUAUUUGGUGAUUUAUGGCACGGUGUUGUAAAUGAGGUCAUUUUUUCCUAAGUAAUAAAAGCAUUUUUUUAGCUUAAGAGCAGUUACCCUGCAAGCACCUCCUCCGUCCUCCUCCAGUGACGGACGUGUCAACGUGUAACCACCAUCUGUCACGGGAAACAAGGCCGCGUCGCUUUUCUUUUUGAUGAGCAGGUUUCCUGCAAACUGCGAGCAAAUCCACGUCGUCAGCAGGAAAAUAAACCGUUUCCUUUUGGAGGUAAUGCUCAUGUGUGUUUUUUUUUUCUUAAAAACUUUUUCGUUCUAAAGCGACACCACAGAGUGUACAUGUGUGCAUGUGUGUGUGUGUGUGUGUGUCUGUCUGUCUGCUGCAUUGUGUCUUUCUCAGCCUGGUAGUUUGUGUCACACAGCUCAGGUUUUCAGUUCGGGGUUUAGCAACCAAAACCUUUUCUUCUCCUUUAAUAGGAUUUGACAGAGGACCAGUUUCACCCUGUGUGUGUGUGUGUGUGUGUGCGCGUGUCCCCAUGCAUGCUGCUUGAACUUUCCAUGGCAUAAUCCUCACUAGAUGAACUGUACGUGUGCGUGUGCGUGUGUGUGUGUGCGUGCGCGCGGGUCGGAGACGCCCUCAACCCCCCACAGGACAUCCUCUAAGAGAGCAUCAAGUGGCCGAUGGCGCCGGACCUCAAGUUCUUUCCACUCGGCGUGCAGCUCCAUGUUUUAGCAAAUAAACUCCGGUCACAGGGUGCGCUGGGUCGGUGUUGACACCAGCGAGAUUCUCCUCAAUUCAAUUGUUCAGCUCACAGCAGGGGAACCAAGAGCAGCAGAGCGUAAUUAAAAAAGUAAAGUAUCGACUCUCUGCUCUGAAAUGCUCUGAAAACGCGUCUAUUCCUGGAUUCAUUAAAAUCCUUCGCCGCCUAAUUAAUUGCGUUUUUGUGCUGCAGUCGUCUAAGCUUGUGCUUAUGUUGACUCAUUUUACAUACAACUUGUUAUUAUAAUCUACGGUGGUAUAAUGUAUCAUUUACUGGUGUCUUCCACUUAUAAAGAAAAAUGUAAUUCUUCAGUGAUUCCCCCCCAAAAAAUUACGAUCAAAUCCGCCAAAUUUUGGGAUUUGCCAAUUUCAUUAACUGGACAAAAGCAUGAAAAGUUGGUGUGUUUCAGUAUUGCUGUUAAAGGUGCUGGAUCCGUCUGCCCAGUUUGCCAUCGAUACACUUGGGUCUUCAUCAUCGGCGUGUGAAAGACUUUGUGUUCAGCUGGUAAUAUUCACCUUUGAGUGAAGGUAAUCUUCCGAUCGCUGACAGCUGCUGAAUUAAAGUCAGUCCUUCUCCACGGCACGCUCGCUAUUAGCACACAAACUGCGUUUUGCCGGUAAUCAUGUUUGAGUCACGCGAAGCUAGAAGAGGUCUCGAGGGCGAAUCUCACUGCGCACGGUUAUGCGCACUGAAGUUGGUCCAAAUAAGGGUUCUCAUCCAUCAGAUCUCAGGGAGGGUCAAAGGGCAAACCGAGCGGGCUGCUUAAGCUCGUUUACGUUAAACCCAGGACAGAAAACAUUCCCAGAGAAACGCACACUUUCGUCUCCACGGUCUAAAGGACUAACUGAGUCCGACGCCCCGUCCCCUUCCCCUCCCUCUCGCCGCUCUGGGCCUCGCCACGCCGCUUCAUUAUCCGGGCCACCUGCCGCCGGGGGGGCAACAGAUGGGGAGGCUUACCUGCCGCGCCCGGCGACUGACAGCUCGAGUCACGUAAGCUCGACUUUUGUCAGCGACGACCACAACAAACUCGGCGUGGCGCCCCGCCGUGCAGCGUGCCGCCGAGAGGGGAAAGAGUAACCCCUCCCCCCCCCCUCCUCCCUCCCUCCCUCAUCUAUUUGUCGUCACAUGAUAGAAGAGAACGACUUGUUAGUGUUGUUGUUGAUGAGGUUUGUCCAGCGAACAGAAAACCAACAGCAUCCAAUCACUUAAGUCUUAAGUCCAUGUGCUUUUCUUCACUGUAAAUUGAGGACGCUUUUCCGUUAAAAGUUGAAUGAAUGAACUUAGCUGAACAUCUAUUCAACCAAGAAGAAUUUCAAUCUGCAAAUUUAUUCAUUGGCUGACUGUUUAUGUUGUGCAAUAUUACCCGUUAUCAAUAUGACUUCAUACGAUUUUAGGAACUCGCUCAACCUGAUCAUGAACACGAUCUUCUCUGUGUGUGUGUGUGUUUCCCCCCUGACAGAAUUUCCUUGAUCAAGCCGUCUUGUUGUGUCUGGGCUCCGCGGUGGUCGGAACCGUCCGUCCUGCCGCCUCCUUUCUGCUUCAAACAAUGCGUCCAACCUCCUGCCGCCUCCGGAGGCAGAGCAAUUUUCCAUAUUUUCCAAUUUUUUUUUUCAAAUAAAUAGUCAUGACACGACGCACACGUGCGCACAACAAUGCGCGGCUGUUCAAACACUGUGUUCCUUUCACAGAAGGCUCGGGUGGAAAUGAAGGUACCGCUCGGUAUCACGGCACACCAGCCCUGUUUGUUUAGUCGGGGGGGUUCAGUCGCCUUUGGCUGCUCGAGUGUUGCUUGCAGUUAAAGUCUGGAUGUGGGUUUUUGUUUGAGCUCCAUAUUGAUGCUUGAUAAAUGUGUUGUAUAAAAUCCUGAAGGCAUUCAGCUUUAAUGCAUGUAUGCGCCGGCCUCUCAGGCAUAAUUAGUCAUUUCAAAACAUUUCCUGGUUUUCUAGCGUGGAUGUUUGGCAGCAGGACGUAGAUCAGAGCGUUUGGAGUUGUGUUCCAUCUCUGUGGUGAGUUCCCCCCCCCUCUAGAAUAACUGUGUCUCCCCUCUUGUCCUUUUCAUUACACAUUCAGCACAGCGGAAUUAUAUUGCCCAUCAGCCCUUUUUUAAUAAACAUUACGGAACACAUGGGCUCGCCUCUAUCUGUGUAAUUACUCACUGUAUAGAAUUCAUUUACGCGGCCGACUCAAAUCCGAUACAAAAACGUCCUCAAAUAUCUGCUGGGGAAUGAAUUUGACAGCCCUGGAUGGUUUAAAACGGUUACUUAAUUCAUUCAGCCCUCAAAUUAAACUGUUUGCUGACCGUUCUGCGAUAACUAAAAGCAAUUCCGUAAAUCCACCAGCAAACCCCCGACAAACCUGGGGUCUGAGCCGAGGGGCUCGCUGGUCAGAACCCGAUGACCAUCAUUAAGAACCAUCAUCAAGUCUGCGUAGAAGUAUCCCUCCUUCUCCCCGAUGGCCUCGUUUACUUCACGCAGGCCACAAAGUGUCCUCCGCAUUAAUCGGAGAUCAUGUUUGAUGAUCAGCAGAUGAGGUUCUCGUGUAAGAUGUUCAAUCGUCUCAGUGACCUCCGCUGCUGAUUUGUUUGCCUGAUGUAUUCUAGUUGAAAUUCAGAGGCUGAUAUAUUCUCCACGCACUGAUUAUAUGAUUACUGAAUCUAACAAGCUCAUUAAUUGCUCCGAGGCAUUUUAAUAAAGGUUCUAAUUGAAAAGCAUCCGGCGCUGAUGGAGAGAGGAGACCCUGGAGAACGAUAGAGACAAUUCAGACUGCAGAAUGCACUUCAUUUUAGUUCCCGUAUCAAUUAAUUAGUUUUCAAUGAUGAUGAAUGGUGAAAAAACAUGAUCGCAAAUGGAAAUGACCAGGCAUGGAAAUAUAUUGUUGCGCAGUAUAAAGCGGUUGUUUCUCCGUGCCUAAUUAUCAUCUGUGUGUGUGGGAGAAGAAAAUUACCCGUCAAUUUUAACAAAGGGUAAACUCUGUUAACAAAAACAUUUAAUUUUCCUUUCAUUACUCGUUCCUUUGGGUUCUUUCCGCCACUUUUUCUGAAUGUCAAAGGAAAAUAUCGUCUCUACUAAUUUGUUUGUGCCCCUUUCUUUUUUGCUUCUCCGCCCCCUCACAUUCACUCACUCCUUUCCUCCCUCUCCUCCUUCUUCCCUCCUUCCUUCUAACACACUAUCCUCCCCGUAAUCCAGACUAUCAUCACAGCUAAGAUGCCAGCAAUGACCUCAACCACAGAUCGAUCAAUAAUCAACAAGCACGGACCUCGCGGCAUAGACUCACGCACGACAAUAACUCGAGUGAUGGAGGUGUUGUUUCAUGAACGGAUGCUCCUAAUGGAGGCGUUGGGCCUUUGUGUGGCGGCAGUGCUGUGACGUAGUAAGGAAACAGAUCUUUGGUUCAAGCUCACUUCAUAGAAGUCGUCUGCAGUGCUGAAGUGUCCUCGAGCAAUCGCGGUGUCCCACGGGAUUUAUUAAGUGCCUGUUUUGUUUGUUUUGUCCGUAUCGUUUUUCGGCCACAAACAGAAGGUCCACCUGAUGCUUUCUUCAUCUUCUUCAUAUCCCAUCA
ensembl:lncRNA